AACGAACGCUGGCGGCAGGCUUAACACAUGCAAGUCGAACGCCCCGCAAGGGGAGUGGCAGACGGGUGAGUAACGCGUGGGAACAUACCCUUAUCUUCGGAACAACUCCGGGAAACUGGAGCUAAUACCGAAUGUGCCCUUCGGGGGAAAGAUUUAUCGGAUAAGGAUUGGCCCGCGUUGGAUUAGCUAGUUGGUGGGGUAAAGGCCUACCAAGGCGACGAUCCAUAGCUGGUCUGAGAGGAUGAUCAGCCACAUUGGGACUGAGACACGGCCCAAACUCCUACGGGAGGCAGCAGUGGGGAAUAUUGGACAAUGGGCGCAAGCCUGAUCCAGGCAUGCCGCGUGAGUGAUGAAGGCCUUAGGGUUGUAAAGCUCUUUCACCGGAGAAGAUAAUGACGGUAUCCGGAGAAGAAGCCCCGGCUAACUUCGUGCCAGCCGCCGCAGUAA
rnacentral:rRNA from 1 species